rnacentral:rRNA from 1 species
UACGUAGGGUGCAAGCGUUGUCCGGAAUUAUUGGGCGUAAAGAGCUCGUAGGCGGUCUGUCGCGUCUGCUGUGAAAACUCGGGGCUUAACCCCGGGCCUGCAGUGGGUACGGGCAGACUAGAGUGCGGUAGGGGAGACUGGAAUUCCCGGUGUAGCGGUGAAAUGCGCAGAUAUCAGGAGGAACACCGGUGGCGAAGGCGAGUCUCUGGGCCGUAACUGACGCUGAGGAGCGAAAGCGUGGGGAGCGAACAGG